rnacentral:rRNA from 1 species
UACGUAGGGUGCGAGCGUUGUCCGGAAUUAUUGGGCGUAAAGAGCUUGUAGGCGGUUUGUCGCGUCUGCUGUGAAAAUCCGGGGCUCAACCCCGGACUUGCAGUGGGUACGGGCAGACUAGAGUGUGGUAGGGGAGACUGGAAUUCCUGGUGUAGCGGUGAAAUGCGCAGAUAUCAGGAGGAACACCGAUGGCGAAGGCAGGUCUCUGGCGCACUACUGACGCUGAGAAGCGAAAGCGUGGGGAGCGAACAGG